rnacentral:rRNA from 1 species
GACGAACGCUGGCGGCGUGCUUAACACAUGCAAGUCGAACGGAAAGGCCCCUUUGGGGGUACUCGAGUGGCGAACGGGUGAGUAACACGUGAGUAACCUGCCCUUGACUUCGGGAUAACUUCAGGAAACUGGGGCUAAUACCGGAUAGGAAUCCUUGCUGCAUGGUGGGGGUUGGAAAGCUUCGGCGGUUUUGGAUGGACUCGCGGCUUAUCAGCUUGUUGGUAGGGUAGUGGCUUACCAAGGCUUUGACGGGUAGCCGGCCUGAGAGGGCGACCGGCCACAUUGGGACUGAGAUACGGCCCAGACUCCUACGGGAGGCAGCAGUGGGGAAUAUUGCACAAUGGGCGGAAGCCUGAUGCAGCAACGCCGCGUGCGGGAUGACGGCCUUCGGGUUGUAAACCGCUUUCAGCAGGGGCGAAGCUUGUGGUGACGGUACCUGCAGAAGAAGCACCGGCUAACUACGUG